rnacentral:tRNA from 1 species
GCUCCGGUAGCUCAAAGGAAGAGCACGAAUCUCCUAAAUUCGGGGUUCAGGGUUCGACUCCCUGCUGGAGCA